rnacentral:rRNA from 1 species
UACGUAGGGUGCUAGCGUUGUCCGGAAUUAUUGGGCGUAAAGAGCUCGUAGGCGGUUUGUCGCGUCUGCUGUGAAAUCCCGAGGCUCAACCUCGGGCUUGCAGUGGGUACGGGCAGACUAGAGUGCGGUAGGGGAGACUGGAAUUCCUGGUGUAGCGGUGGAAUGCGCAGAUAUCAGGAGGAACACCGAUGGCGAAGGCAGGUCUCUGGGCCGCAACUGACGCUGAGGAGCGAAAGCAUGGGGAGCGAACAGG